rnacentral:rRNA from 1 species
UACGAAGGGGGCUAGCGUUGUUCGGAUUCAUUGGGCGUAAAGGGUGCGUAGGUGGCGUGGUAAGUCGGGUGUGAAAUUUCGGAGCUUAACUCCGAAACUGCAUUCGAUACUGCCGUGCUUGAGGACUGGAGAGGAGACUGGAAUUUACGGUGUAGCAGUGAAAUGCGUAGAGAUCGUAAGGAAGACCAGUGGCGAAGGCGGGUCUCUGGGCCGAUACUGACGCUGGAGGAGCGAAAGCGUGGGGAGCGAACAGG